GCCUGGUGUGGUGGUGCACGCCUGUAAUCCCAGUUACUUGGGAGCUUGAGGCAGGAGGAUCACAAGUCUGAGCCCAGGCUGGACAACUUAGGGAGACCCUGACUCAA
rnacentral:sRNA from 1 species